GAUGAAGAACGUAGCGAAAUGCGAUAAGUAAUGUGAAUUGUAGAAUUCAGUGAAUCAUCGAAUCUUUGAACGCACAUUGCGCCCAUUAGUAUUCUAGUGGGCAUGCCUGUUCGAGCGUCAUUAAGUCCACUUAAGCCCUGCUUAGUGUUGGGAGACUGCUCCAGCGGUGCUACCCUGUAGCUACCCUGCAGCUCCUCAAAGACAGCGGCGGAGUUGUGGUAUCCUCUGAGCUUAGUAACUUGUUCUAGCUUUCGAGUACACCACUUCCCCUGCCGUAAAACCCUUAAUUUUUAAUGGUUGACCUCGGAUCAGGUAGGAAUACCCGCUGAACUUAAGCAUAUCAAUAAGCGGAGGA
rnacentral:misc_RNA from 1 species